GAGGAGCUCAUGGUGGAUGUGGGCAAGGGACUUGGCACAGUCAAGACCUGUCAGGAAGGUCGUGGAGGAGGUGAGGACGUAGUAGAGGAGCCGGCUGCAAGAGGUGCUGAGUGACAGCAGAUACCAAGAUACUCAGAGUUGAAGAGGCCGCCCCCUCUUCCUGGCCCGCCUCCUGGAGGCCCCUGGAGGACACUGCCUGGUUCCCCGCAGACCCUGAAGCUUUCUCAAGUUGGGGAAGAGCUAGAGGAGGGGACUGCUCCUGGGACUUGGGGCUCAAUAGUCAGGAACCCCCCUCUCAAGUCCCACACCACUCCACUUUGUCAACUCCACUAAAAAAAGUUCUCAAUUGGUUUUUGAGUC
rnacentral:lncRNA from 1 species